GAUGAAGAACGUAGCGAAAUGCGAUACGUAAUGUGAAUUGCAAAUUCAGUGAAUCAUCGAGUCUUUGAACGCACAUUGCGCCCCCUGGUAUUCCGGGGGGCAUGCCUGUCCGAGCGUCAUUGCUGCCCUCAAGCACGGCUUGUGUGUUGGGCCCCGUCCUCCGAUCCCGGGGGACGGGCCCGAAAGGCAGCGGCGUCACCGCGUCCGGUCCUCGAGCGUAUGGGGCUUUGUCACCCGCUCUGUAGGCCCGGCCGGCGCUUGCCGAUCAACCCAAAUUUUUAUCCAGGUUGACCUCGGAUCAGGUAGGGAUACCCGCUGAACUUAAGCAUAUCAAUAAGCGGAGGA
rnacentral:misc_RNA from 1 species